AGUGAACGCUGGCGGUAGGCCUAACACAUGCAAGUCGAACGGCAGCACAGUAAGAGCUUGCUCUUACGGGUGGCGAGUGGCGGACGGGUGAGGAAUACAUCGGAAUCUACUUUUUCGUGGGGGAUAACGUAGGGAAACUUACGCUACUACCGCAUACGACCUACGGGUGAAAGCAGGGGAUCUUCGGACCUUGCGCGAUUGAAUGAGACGAUGUCGGAUUAGCUAGUUGGCGGGGUAAAGGCCCACCAAGGCGACGCUCCGUAGCUGGUCGGAGAGGAUGAUCAGCCACACUGGAACUGGGACACGGUCCAGACUCCUACGGGAGGCAGCGGUGGGGAAUAUUGGACAAUGGGCGCAAGCCUGAGCCAGCCAUACCGCGGGGGUGAAGAAGGCCUUCGGGUUGUAAAGCCCUUUUGUUGGGAAAGAAAAGCAGCAGGUUAAUACCCCGCUGUUCUGACGGUACCCAAAGAAUAAGCACCGGCUAACUUCGU
rnacentral:rRNA from 1 species